AUUGAACGCUGGCGGCAGGCUUAACACAUGCAAGUCGAGCGGGGUGAUGGUGCUUGCACUAUCACUUAGCGGCGGACGGGUGAGUAAUGCUUAGGAAUCUGCCUAUUAGUGGGGGACAACAUCUCGAAAGGGAUGCUAAUACCGCAUACGUCCUACGGGAGAAAGCAGGGGAUCACUUGUGACCUUGCGCUAAUAGAUGAGCCUAAGUCGGAUUAGCCAGUUGGUGGGGUAAAGGCCUACCAAGGCGACGAUCUGUAGCGGGUCUGAGAGGAUGAUCCGCCACACUGGGACUGCGACACGGCCCAGACUCCUACGGGAGGCAGCAGUGGGGAAUAUUGGACAAUGGGGGGAACCCUGAUCCAGCCAUGCCGCGUGUGUGAAGAAGGCCUUAUGGUUGUAAAGCACUUUAAGCGAGGAGGAGGCUCUUUUGGUUAAUACCCAAGAUGAGUGGACGUUACUCGCAGAAUAAGCACCGGCUAACUCUGUGCCAGCCGCCGCUGUAA
rnacentral:rRNA from 1 species